AUUUAACAAAUUUAAUUAUAAACUACGAGAAAAUAGUCCGAAUCUAACGAAGUACAACUUGUGGAUAAUGGCUGUGGGCAUGAUGAUGCAAGCUUGCCAGGCGCAGUGUUUAAAACCAAUGUUAAGCUUGAUUUAGCCACUGCAUUAUAAGGAGAGAAGCAGAAACCCUGACUAAAGUAAAGAUGAUUUGCAUAACAAAGGCAGAUGAAUAAAUCACAAGAGUCCAAAGUUUUGAUGACCAUGCAGAGUCGAGAUAUUGAAACAAAGACAUGCCUGCACUGUUCACUCAAUUUUUCAGAAUAACGUGUCAAAUUGAAAUCCAUCUUAUGUUGGACUAAACAAUCAGGACAUUUUUCUGGAUCACAGGUUGCACAAAGUAUUGACAAAAUCAAAGAUUACCUGGUAGUCUGCAAAUGGAGUGAUCAUUGGAUGAGGCAGACAACACCAUUUUCCUCGGAAAUUUUAGAAUAGAGGCAAUCUCCAUCUUCAUAGAUGACUGAUGUCGACAUUUUCUCACUUCUGUUUCAUGUCUUUUCUACAGCAUGGACUCCAGCAUCAGUGGGCACUUGACAAUUAUUCUUCUUAUUUUGUUCUAAUAUCCUUAAAUAUAGGAUAAACAAUUCAUUUAUCUUUUAAAAUAUUGUUAAAUUUUACUUAAUAAAACGAUAAAAACAGUGCAAACAAACUGGUUUAUCCUAUAAUCUAAAGCUGUUUUAUGGUUCAAGCAUUUAUAAUUUUACAAGACUUAUUAAAAAUCUGUUAAGGUACUUGGAUUCUCAGCCAAGAAGGAUAACUCUUUAAUUUAUAAUUUAAUUCAGAAUCUCAAAAUGAAUCUUGAAAAAUUAAAUCUCUUCAUGCAACAGUUUUUAUUUUAUCAUGAUAAUGUUUAUAACUUCUCAAUGUCCUUUAAGGUUGUUUGAAGUUCUCAGAAAGGUCUUGUAGAAAGUCGAAAUGUUAACCUUAUAUAGUAAAACUCUGUUAAAGAAAAGUCAAUGGGACCUAUGAAAAUACUUUGCUAUAACCAUAAUUUGUUUUAUCCGUAUAAGGAAUUCAUUAAUUUACAUAGCUGGGGAUCCAAGGUUACCUCGCUAUAUCUGUGAAUUCGCAAUAUCUGUGUUCAUAUCUAGACAAAUUUUUGAUAUAAAAUCUCUUACUUAAA